AUGUCGAGCCAGUCCGCGAACAUGACCUUGGGGAGCACGGGCGUGUGCGGCCGGAUCGUGGCUACAACGCCGGGGAUUGUGAGGUUGCUCGAGUCGUCGGCCAUCGACGACGACUCCAGCGGCCCGGAUGAGCCGGAGAUGGACGGCUGGUUAACAGUGCUGCGUUCGCGGGCGCUGUCGCUGGGCGUCGGGCUCCGGGGCGCGUCUGAUCCGGCGGACUUGGCUGGUGAGCGCGCGCCCUCGACGCGCUUCUUCAGGCUUGUGAUGCGUGCUUGCUUACUUGUUGCCGAGUGUGGCGUGGAGGCUCAUGACGGUCUCUUCUUCCUCCCUGGAGAACAUGCCGUGCUUCAGCCCCGGCCUCAGGUAGUUGAUCCACCGCAGCCUGCAGCUCUUGCCGUUCCGCUCAAGUCCUGA
rnacentral:rRNA from 1 species